rnacentral:rRNA from 1 species
CGCCAACAAGCUAGCCCACCCCCACAAAAACAACAAUUCAACAUUAAUAACCCCACAUACACACCUCCCCCACUUAAAUAAAUCAUUCUCCCCCCUCAGUAUGGGCGACAGAAAAGGACCUAUUGGAGCGAUAGAAAAAGUACCGUAAGGGAAAGCUGAAAGAGAAAUGAAAUAACCCAGUGAAGCCUAAAAAAGCAGAGAUUUUACCUCGUACCUUUUGCAUCAUGAUUUAGCUAGUAUUACCCAAGCAAAGAGCACUUUAGUUUGGGACCCCGAAACUACGUGAGCUACUCCAAGACAGCCUAUCAAUAGGGCAAACCCGUCUCUGUGGCAAAAGAGUGGGAAGAGCUUUGAGUAGAGGUGACAGACCUACCGAACCUAGUUAUAGCUGGUUGCCUGAGAGAUGGAUAGGAGUUCAGCCUUUGGGCUUCUCUCUUCACUACAAUUUAUUCUUAUUACUGAGAUUCAAAGAAGCCCAUGGAGUUAGUCAAAGGGGGAACAGCCCCUUUGAGACAAGAUACAACUUUUCCAGGAGGGUAAAGAUCAUAAUAACUAAAGGCAACAAUGCCCUGGUGGGCCUAAAAGCAGCCACCCUUACAGAAAGCGUUACAGCUCAAGCAUUAUACCUUAACCCAUAUAUUUAGAUAAACAAAUCCCAACCCCCUAACAUUAUCAGGCCGUCUCAUGCAAACAUGAGAGUGCACAUGCUAAUAUGAGUAAUAAGAGAGCACCUGCCUCUCUCCUUGCACACGUGUAAUUCGGAACGAACCCCCACCGAGACUUAACGGUCCCAAACAAAGAGGGUAAUGAACAACAAAUUACCAACCAGAAAACCACCCAACAAAACAACCGUUAAUCCCACACUGGUGUGCCCCUAAGGAAAGACUAAAAGAAUAAGAAGGAACUCGGCAAACACCAAGCCUCGCCUGUUUACCAAAAACAUCGCCUCUUGCAAAAUAAAAGUAUAAGAGGUCCAACCUGCCCAGUGACUAUAGGUUCAACGGCCGCGGUAUUUUAACCGUGCAAAGGUAGCGUAAUCACUUGUCUCUUAAAUGGGGACCCGUAUGAAUGGCACAACGAGGGCUUAGCUGUCUCCUUUUUCCGGUCAGUGAAAUUGAUCUCCCCGUGCAGAAGCGGGGAUAGAACCAUAAGACGAGAAGACCCUAUGGAGCUUAAGACACCAAGGCAUAUCAUGUUAAACACCCCAAGAUAAAGGACUGAACUGAGUGAAUUAUGCCCCUAUGUCUUUGGUUGGGGCGACCACGGGAGGAACAAAAAACCCCCACGCGGACUGGGGAUACAAUCAUAUCCUUACAACCAAGAGCUGCACCUCUAAGUAACAGAAAUUUCUGACCAAACAUGAUCCGGCAACGCCGAUCAACGGACCGAGUUACCCUAGGGAUAACAGCGCAAUCCCCUUUUAGAGCCCUUAUCGACAAGGGGGUUUACGACCUCGAUGUUGGAUCAGGACAUCCUAGUGGUGCAACCGCUACUGAGGGUUCGUUUGUUCAACGAUUAAAGUCCUACGUGAUCUGAGUUCAGACCGGAGUAAUCCAGGUCAGUUUCUAUCUAUGACAUGUUCUUUUCUAGUACGAAAGGACCGGAAAGGAGAG